rnacentral:lncRNA from 1 species
AUGGCAGCACAACGUUUUAUACGCUACAUAAGCCAGAGAGAAGGCAUAGCACAACGACAUCACGACGGCAGCACAACGUUUUAUAAGCUACAUAAGCCAGAGAGAAGAGACGGCACAACGGCAGCACAACGUUUUAUAAGCUACAUAAGCCAGAGAGAAGAGACAGCUGCACGACUGCAGCGCGCACAGCGACAGCUCAACAAAACUAUUCAAAAAUUUAAUUCACUAAUUGUAUUUGUUGAAAUUCACUUUUGA